rnacentral:lncRNA from 1 species
UGAUGAUACAAGUUGGUGGGCAAUAUCUAAGUUAUUAGAUCUAUUUCACCUUCUCUGUUUUAUUCCUUCCUUUUUUUUUCUUUUCUCUGUUUGUUUUAGGUUUACUAUCACAUUAAUUCAAAGAAAACUCUGUCAUUGGUGCAGUCUUUCAGGCAUUUCAUUAGACUUCAUAUUCCAGCAGAGAAUUCAGUAAGAAACUGCUACCUCCACUAGUAACAUAUGCUUUCCAAAUCCUCUGCCUUAUGAACCUCAGCUAUCAAGCCUACUCUGAAGACAAUUUUGGUGUUAUUUAUAAUUUCUUAGAUGAAUAAAUGAUAUUAAUUCAAUGAGAGGGAAUCUGCAAUGGAACUGGAGUUUCAAGUGUGUCUGAUAAUGUUUCAGAAUUGUCAUACUCACUAAACUUGUUAAUAUGGCAACUAUUAGGUAAAGGAUAAUUUGGUGGAGUGGAAAUAUGUGCCACCAUUGUUUUGAAAUGUGUAAAGAAGGAAAAAUCUGUUUGAAUGUAUAUCAAAAAUUUAAAAAGUUAAAAGAGAAGAUGACAUUUAUUCUGUCCUGUUAAUUUCUCAUGAAUUAGAAAUUGAGAGGUAUGUGUUUCCAGUAUUGAAUAUAUAAUUAUGCCAUUUAUUUUACACAUGAUGUGCUUAAAAAUUUAUUAAUUUUUAUUUAGCUGUCACCAGUGGGACACAUUACUAUAUUAGAUCAAGUCAGCUAUCUACAAUUUUAAUCUUCUAAUGAUCUGUUUGACUCUUAACACAGG